GUGGGGAAUCUUGCGCAAUGGGCGAAAGCCUGACGCAGCCAUGCCGCGUGAAUGAUGAAGGUCUUAGGAUUGUAAAAUUCUUUCACCGGGGACGAUAAUGACGGUACCCGGAGAAGAAGCUCCGGCUAACUUCGUGCCAGCAGCCGCGGUAAUACGAAGGGGGCUAGCGUUGCUCGGAAUUACUGGGCGUAAAGGGCGCGUAGGCGGACAGCUUAGUCAGAGGUGAAAGCCCAGGGCUCAACCUUGGAAUUGCCUUUGAUACUGGCUGUCUUGAGUUUGGGAGAGGUGAGUGGAACUCCGAGUGUAGAGGUGAAAUUCGUAGAUAUUCGGAAGAACACUAGUGGCGAAGGCGACUCACUGGCCCAAUACUGACGCUGAGGCGCGAAAGCGUGGGGAGCAAACAGGAUUAGAAACCCUUGUAGUCC
rnacentral:rRNA from 1 species